CAAUACUCUUAGCACUUGGGAUGAGAGGCCUGUGCCACCAGGCCUGGAAUCCCUCUUCUCAACUCUUUCAUCCUAUACUCUUGGAGAGGGAGGAACAAUUUUUUUAAUUUAGGCUUUGCAGGGUCUCUCAAAUAUUCAGUUCUUCCAACAUGUCAGCCACAGACAUGCCAGUAGGGCUGUGUUCCAAUCUGAUUUUAUUUCUGGGCACAGAACUAUUUGAAUUUCUUGUAGUUUCUAAGUGUGAUAAAAUAUUAUUUUACUAUUCUUGUCAUUAAUAUGUAUAAAUUAAUGACAUAAUUUGCUAUAUAUCUAUCUAUCUCUAUUUAUAUCUAUCGAUCUCUAUAAUCUAUAUAUCUCUCAUUCUUAGCUCAUAGGCCAGUCUGAAAUAAGCUGCAGGCUAUAAUUGUCUAUGGUUUGCAGGACCUUGCUGUGGAGUACCUUAGUGUGCCACCCAGAAUUUGGAAAUAAAGUGCCUUCAGGUUUCCUUCCAGACGUGAGAGUCAGGUGUGGAACAGCAGCCAAGCUUUUGGCAGAGACUAGGGCUUCAUCGGCAGCCGGGCCCCCUCUAUGAUUUUCCUUGGUGAAGGAAGACAGAAGACAAGAGCGUGGUUAAUGCACUGAGGUUUCCUUCCAUCUUGGUUUUCUCGUCCUCUCCAGGCCUGUUUUUGUGUGCUAGAGCUCAGCACAGGAACAAAGCAAGGACGACCAACUCCUUGAAGAAACAGUCCUGCCUCUGUUCUCGUCUAUAUUCUGAUUUUGAGACUUCCUCUUCCUCCUUAGCCACCUGUUCUGGGAGUCCUCUUGGUUUUGAGGUUUGUAGUGGUUUCGAAGCAGAGAGAAACUUGAGGAUGUGACAAGUCACUGGGUGUCAGCAUGCCAAAGGACAUUGUACAUUGGGCUGAGCCGCCAAAUAAAAGCUUUGCCUUGCCCAUUUCUCUCUUGCCCAUUUCUCUGUAUUGUGUCUGCUUUGAAAAAAAAAACAAAAAAACUAAACAACAACAACAAACUCUUCCUCUGCUAUCUUUUGGUGUCAUCGGAGACAUUAUGCUUUUGCGAAUCGUACAACAAAAGAAAUCCUUUUGAACAUCUGUGUGUCAGGCAUGGCUCUACACAUGAGAAUAUAAUGUGCUCUUUGAAUUAGACCCUUGUAAUACUUUAACCACAACUCAAGAUCUCUUUAUUUAUUUUUGGCUAGGGCUGGAUGACUUUAAUUCUGUUACCUCUGCUCUGAAGGUUUCAGGCCCUGUGACCUCCAAUAAAAGAGUAGUAGGCAGGAACAAGGAAAAGUGAGAACAGGUCACCAAUGACCCCCUUCUGUCUCUGCCUGUCCUGAGCCUGUCCUUUCUAAGGCUGCACAACAUGCUACCAGCCUUUGGCAGAGAUCAUGGCUUCGCCAGCAGCCAGGUUCCCUCUCUGAUUUCUUUGGUGAGUGAAGACAGAAAAGAACAGUUCUGCUCUGUUUGAUGCGCAGAGGUUUGGAAAGGAUCUUGGAGUGCAACCUAUUGUCUGAUUAGACUGAAUGCCUUCAUGUCAGUCUUCAUCAAAAGGUCACGUGGCUCCUGGAAAGGCUCACUAGUUUUAUUGGUCAUGGGCAGCACUUUAGUAAGCAAGUAAACAUAGCCUUAUCCUCAGCCUGCACUAUACAGAUGUACAAAAGGGCCCAGGGCCAAGGCCCCAAAGACAGUCUAGCCUGGUAAUAUCCCCUGUUUCUGUUUAUCCAAUGGUAAGCUGCUUUUUCUAUGGCCUGCCUACUCAGAGGUGGGUGGAGACAGCACAGCAUUAUGGAGGUUUUCCAGGCUACAGGGAGACAGUAUAUGUGGGUUCUGGAGUUUCUAACAGUGACUGAGAAUUUGCUUUUCUGACAUCAUUUUUACCUGCUGCUGUGGCACAGUGCUCCCUGACAUGGAGUGACUUGGAAACAUGGGAGCUGCAGUGACAGCUGCUUUUGGUCUUUGUGACAUCUUGUCCCUAGCUUUUAUGGUUUUGCCUCUGUCCCUGUUUCUUCUUCCUCAGUCCACAUGUGCAAACACACAUGCAUGUGCAUACGUACCUGUACCUAUACACAAUUUCCCACGUAAGACCAAGAACUAGUUGAGACUGUCACAUCAAAUUGCACAAAGUGUGACUGUAUGAAACAGACAGGUGAUCAGAAGAAAGGACCAUCCAUCUUCAAGUCCUGGGUGUUGUCCUUCUUUCUGGCUUUCUUCAUUAAUCCCGGCAAUGGUUUGCAUUUAUACGUCCUGUGCCGAUUUUUAAACCAGAAAUACAGUGGUUGGUUCUACGUAAAAGCCAUCAAAACCAUUCAUUUAGUAUAUCAUAUGCUAUCUGAUUCCUGGAUGCACCCAUGCCGCUGAGCUCAAGGUAAUGGAUUGGGUGAUGAGCAAGAGAAGAAGAAAGACUUCCCACUUACUGUGCCACUAACUAGGCAAAUGGUCUUGGACACAUCAGUGGACUUCUCUGGGACCUGACUCAAUGUCGACUGUUGUGUCUUAUUUAGAAGCUAAGAAUGAGCCGCGGAGAUAAUGUGUGAAGGAUAACGUUUGUGAGUAGCAGACAUGAUUCCUGGAGGGAUGCUCUGUCUGUGGCAACACUGUUAGAGGGAUGAGUGAGACAGGAGUGAAUGGGAUGGCAUUCACAGGACAUGAGGAGCAAGUAUCCCUGGGCCACCCUGGGCAAAAGGUUGAAUCUUUGAGGGUUGGUUUCCUCAUUUCUUUUCAAACAAAGGGUUAUUUGGAAUUCUUACUGUUUGGGUAAUAAUUUCUCAGUUUUUCAAGGUCACUUCAUUUGCAUGCAUAUUUAACUCUAUGUGGGAGGCCUGUGGAAAGGUCAACAUAUGCUAAUUUACAUAAGUCCUUGGGUAGUUGGCUGCCCUGUGAACAGCCAUCAGUGAGGAGAUUUGGACUAGGGCCCAAGUCUAUUUGGAUAAGCUUUUGAAUUGAUCCUUUGGGACCAUUUCCACGCUAGGACAGCACACUGACAGGUACUACAAUGAUGGCCUUUCUAAAUGUCUUUGUUCGAACAUAAGAAUCCUACUGUAAACACAACAGGAGUUGCAUUACCUUACAAACUAUAUCACUGAAAAAGAAAAGAAAUAUAUCACAGUAUUUCUUAUAGCGGGUACAAUAAACCCUUAGAAGCAUUGUGACAAGGAGACAGAGGGUGUUCUUGACACACUGAGGCAGUCCAUGGCAUAAGCGGCUGCUUCUUCCAUCCAGCUUGUCUCUAAUCCUUCUGGAUGAACUCUAGUAUGAAACAGCAAUUUCUUUAUUCCUCAGGCCAGUAGAAUUUUGCAGGGUUCUUGCUGUAUUGUGCAUUGAAAGCCUUCAUUAGCAAUGCAAGCCCUUCAGAAGGUAAUGAAUGACUCAUACAAGCUCUAGAAAUAGCACUGUGGAAAAUUGCUUUUAUGUAAUCUUUCUCAGAGUGUCAUUCUGUGAAUGCUUAUCAUCCCAGCAGAACACAAGUGGGAAAGAUCAGAUCUUGUGGGGACUCUCAGGACACGCUGUGUCUCAGAGUCACACCAUUGCCUCACAGGCCUCUAUAAACCACUAGAAAUUUGAGAGCAUUUUACGCACAACAGGGGAGAGAGUGAGUGAGGGGCCAAGCUGUGAAGUGAGAUCAAGCUCUGGUUUCAGUACAGGCAUUUAGCACAUGGGCUCCAAUCAGGAGAUGCUUUGUGUUCGUUGUUGUUGCUGUUUUUUAUUUGUUUUUGGUCCAAAAUUUAAUCUUAAAUGUUUCUAAGUUGUGGUAAAGUAUACUUAACCUAAAACUAAUACAACUCAGUUAGAUAAAGUAUAUAUGCGUUAUUGUGAGACCAUCACCACCAUCCAACCAUCCAUCUCCAGAUCUUUUUGUCUUCCUAACUCAAAACUCUUUACCUAUUAACCAGUAACUCCCCUCCCACUUCUGCUUUCCUGGAAACCAGCAUUCUACUUCCUGCUUGUUGGAUUUUUGACUCUUCCAGGCAUCUCAGGUAUAUGCCCAGUGGAAUUGUGAACAAUAAAUUCUUAAAAUUAAAAGGGAUGGUUCUGAGAAUCUUUGCCUCUAAGGACUCGGUGUUGCAAAAUGAAGAAGAAAAGGGAUCCAAAUAUAAUGGAAUGGCCAAUGGCUGCCCAAAUGUCAAGAGCUCCUGGGUUAGAUUGACAAACAUCUUCCCCUUUCACAAGCCGACUGCGUGUUACCCGGGUCAUCCUGAUGUAUUCUGAGU